GGGAGGGGGGAGGAAGAGGGGAAAGAGUGUGAGCAGACUUUCUCACUUGUAGAAAAAGCCUCUUCAUAUGGAUUUCUCUGCGUCAUGGUUGUUCUCUGGCUGAAAGUCUGACAGCCAAGCACACGUAGUUCUUGGUUUUCACAUCUUACUCUAUCACCGAAAAUAAAGGCAGCUUUGGCUGGUGCUGGGAAGCCUGUUCCCGUAGAGCAGAGGACAGACAGUUCCCGGAGACCCUCUUAGCUUGAUGACAGGGUCUCUCGGAGCCUAGGCUGGCUUCUAGCUUGCUAUGCAGCUGAGAAUGUCCUUGAAUACUGAUCUUCCUGCCUUCAUCUUCCAACUCCUGUGAUCUUAAGCCUGGGCUAUAAACCAAGCUUCAUGGCCGCCACUCUGAAAACGCCACACGAUGCACAAGUGUGACAGAUCAGCCAGUAAAGGAACCUGCUGCCAAGCUGACCCAUGUGACUUCCAUCCCUGAGACCCACAUUGUGGAAGGAGAAAACAACUUUCACAAGUUGUCCUCUGACCACCGCAUACACACCAUGGCGUGUGCACAGACCAGGAUAAAUACAGACAGACUUAGGUCCCUGCCACCCCUUGGGAGAUCGUUCAGGACACCCCGUUUGAAGCCCUAAAUUCUGACAUGUUGGAUUGGUUACAAGACCGCCUCUUCCGAGAGGCAGAAGUGAGUUUCACUCCCACCCACGCUCAGGAUGUUAAGACAUUUGCAGAAUGAUUUGUUCUGGACCAGGGGAGAACACUCAUGUGAAAGCAUGCCAUGUCUCUUCCUCCAGUGGUCCCUCCUGCCUCCUGUCAGGCCACACCUGUGUCUCCUCACUCACAAUCAGGUGCCCCUCAGUGGCCUGAAUACCAGAGUGGCUUCUGCAAGAAAAAUGAGACAGAGAAGCAGACAGAGGUCAACAGGCUGAGAUGACUUUGUGGGAGCAGCAAGGGAUCCCUACUCCCUCCCACCCGCAUGAAAGCUGAGUAUAUUCAGAGGGCUGGGGGAAUAUGUGCGUAUACAUGGGGGAUAUGUGCAUGCAUAUACAUGGGUAGCUACCAGAAGUUACAGCUCUGUGUAGGUGUGUGUGUGUGUGUGUGUGUGUGGAGGGGGUUGACUGGGAGCAAGGUAGUUUGUUGUUUGUUUGAUUGCUUGUUUUAGAUAAUUGGACAUAUUAUAUCUGUAGGUGGAAUACAGUGGUCAGGCUAAACCAUUCUUUAUGGCUAUGGGCUAUGCCCAGUACAACCUGACUCACUUCAUCAUGACUUGAGUCUAUUACCCAACGGCUUCUACCACCUUCCAAUGGAAACUAUCCAACAGCUUAUCGCCCAGUGGUUAUUGUUGUGUUUAUAAAAAGAUAAAGAGAGGGGAGAGAUGUUCUAUGGAGGUGUGGUCAGGCAUGGGGGAAGGGAGUACCUUGGUGGGUCCAUGCUGAGGCAUCCCUUCCCCAUGAGGGACCAGCCACAUGACAACGGUAUAGUAUAGAAUAGAGUUUAUUCAGGGCAUGGGAGGGGAGUUAAGAGGGUAGUAGAGGCAGAAAGGCAGAGAGAGA